rnacentral:rRNA from 1 species
ANANGUGGGUGACCUGCCCUAGAGUUCGGGAUACCCCCUCGAAAGGGGGGCUAAUACCGGAUACGUUCCUUGGUCGAAAGAUCGGGGAGGAAAGGUGGCGCAAGCUGCCGCUCUUGGAGGGGCUCGCGGCCUAUCAGCUAGUUGGCGGGGUAACGGCCCACCAAGGCUAUGACGGGUAGCUGGUCUGAGAGGACGACCAGCCACACGGGGACUGAGACACGGCCCCGACUCCUACGGGAGGCAGCAGUGGGGAAUUUUCCGCAAUGGGCGAAAGCCUGACGGAGUGACGCCGCGUGUGGGACGAAGGCCUUCGGGUCGUAAACCACUGUCAGUGGGAAAGAAGGGUGUCGGGGUUAAUACCCCCGGCAUCUGACGGUACCUGCAGAGGAAGCCCCGGCCAACUCUGUGCCAGCAGCCGCGGUAAGACAGAGGGGGCAAGCGUUGCUCGGAAUUACUGGGCGUAAAGGGCGCGUANGCGGGAUGGCAAGUCGGUCGUGAAAUCCCUCGGCUCANCCGANGAACGUC